rnacentral:rRNA from 1 species
UGGGGAAUUUUGGACAAUGGGCGAAAGCCUGAUCCAGCAAUGCCGCGUGUGUGAAGAAGGCCUUCGGGUUGUAAAGCACUUUUGUCCGGAAAGAAAUCCUUGGCUCUAAUACAGUCGGGGGAUGACGGUACCGGAAGAAUAAGCACCGGCUAACUACGUGCCAGCAGCCGCGGUAAUACGUAGGGUGCAAGCGUUAAUCGGAAUUACUGGGCGUAAAGCGUGCGCAGGCGGUUUGCUAAGACCGAUGUGAAAUCCCCGGGCUCAACCUGGGAACUGCAUUGGUGACUGGCAGGCUAGAGUAUGGCAGAGGGGGGUAGAAUUCCACGUGUAGCAGUGAAAUGCGUAGAGAUGUGGAGGAAUACCGAUGGCGAAGGCAGCCCCCUGGGCCAAUACUGACGCUCAUGCACGAAAGCGUGGGGAGCAAACAGGAUUAGAUACCCUGGUAGUCCACGCCCUAAACGAUGUCAACUAGUUGUUGGGGAUUCAUUCCUUAGUAACGUAGCUAACGCGUGAAGUUGACCGCCUGGGGAGUACGGUCGCAAGAUUAAAACUUAAUGAAUUGACGGGGUCAUAGCUG